GGGUACGCUUCGCGACAGAGCCGUAAAGGCGCGGGAGCAGAGCAUGGCGCUCUACGCGACGGCAGCGUCCGUGCUGGCUGGCGUGGAGAGCCGGCGGGGUUCCAUCAAGGGGCUGGUGUAUGCCAGCAGCUUCCAGAACGUGAAGCAGCUGUACGCGCUGGUGUGCGAGACCCAACGCUACUCCUCCGUGCUGGACGCCGUGAUCACCAGCGCCGGCCUCCUCCGCGCCGAGAAGAAGCUGCGGCCGCACCUGGCCAAGGUACUAGUGUAUGAGUUGCUGCUGGGAAAGGGCUUUAAAGGUGGCAGUGGGGGCCGAUGGAAACCUUUGCUGGACCGGCACCAGGCAAGGCUGAAGGCUGAGUUGGCCCGGCUCAAGGUUCAUCGAGGUGUGAGCAAGAACGAGGACCUGUUGCAGGUGGAAUCCAAGCCUGGCCCAGCCUCUCAGGUGCCUCGGUUUGUGCGGGUGAACACUCUGAAGACCUGUUGUGAUGAUGCGGUUGAUUACUUCAAGAGACAAGGUUUCUCCUACCAGGGCCGGGCUUCCAGCCUCGAGGACCUCCGGGCCCUCAAAGGGAAGUGCUUUCUUCUGGAUCCCUUGUUGCCAGAGCUGCUGGUGUUUCCGGCCCAGACGGAUCUGCACGACCACCCGCUGUACCGGGCCGGCCACCUCAUUCUACAAGACAAGGCCAGCUGUCUGCCGGCCGUGCUGCUGGCCCCGCCCCCCGGCUCCCACGUCAUCGAUGCCUGCGCUGCCCCGGGCAACAAGACCAGUCACUUGGCUGCUCUUCUCAAGAACCAGGGCAAGAUCUUUGCCUUUGACCUGGACGCUGGGCGGCUGGCGUCCAUGGCUACCCUGCUGGCCCGGGCCGGAGUCUCGUGCUGCGAGCUGGCCGAGGAGGACUUCCUGGCGAUAUCGCCCUCCGACCAGCGCUACCGUCAGGUCCAGUACAUCUUGCUGGAUCCUUCUUGUAGCGGCUCUGGUAUGGCGACCAGACGGCUGGAGGAGCCCCGGGCGGGCACACCUAGCAAGGCGCGCUUGCAGGCCCUGGCUGGGUUCCAGCGGCGAGCACUGUGCCACGCGCUCACUUUCCCCUCCCUGCAGCGUCUGGUCUACUCCACGUGCUCCCUCUGCCAAGAGGAGAAUGAAGACGUGGUGCGGGACGCCCUGCAGCAGAACUCGGGGACCUUCAGGCUAGUCCCCGUCCUCCCCUCCUGGCCCCACCGUGGCCUCGGCACUUUUCCGGGGGCUGAACGCUGCCUCCGGGCCUCCCCUGAAACCACGCUCACCGGCGGCUUCUUUGUUGCCGUACUGGAACGGGUGGAGGCGCCGAGCUCAGUCUCCCGGGCCGAAGCACCGGCACCUCCACCCGAGGCCGCCCCGCGGAGGAAGAGACGGCGCAGAGCGGCGGCCCCUGGGGUGCCGCCCCGCACCGAGCAGGAAGGAAAGCGGUAGCUGGAGGGAGAGUGUGGACUUGCCUGUCCCCUGGGCCCCUCCCCGGGCCGUGUUCUUGCUCGUGACAGCUCUGCCCACGGAAAUAAAAAGCAGGACAUGGUCUACGAUAGAUCACAGUUUUUUUUUUUUAUUCUUAAUGACAUAAGCAAGGAGAAAAAUCUCACAUUCAUACUAAAAAUUCCAACUAGCCUCACAGGAAUUAAGUCUUUAUUUGUAAUGGAAAGUCCCAGCCUCCCGUUCCUGUCCAGUGCACGUACGUGUACACACACACACACACACACACACACACACACACCCACACACACACACACUCAGGCCGUGCCGGGACACCCUCUUUGGGGGCUCCCGGGCCAAGUGUCCUGCCUGUGGACCUGAGGUAAACUAGCUCGGAACACUAACACUAACGAGGCUCUACCUUCCGGAAGGUAUCGCUAGAAGCUUGGUUUCUAGACCCGUGCCCACCCCCCCCUCCCCCCCCCCAAUCCUAACAGGGACUCGGGACUCGAGGUCCAGGCCUCUGGGCGCCACACACAGACACACGCAUUCAUACUUCUCCCAAAGAGGAUGGGCAUUGGCAGCAAGGCUCUUGGGCCUGGGGUAUGUGAUCUGGGAACAGGGGAAGAACGGGACGGAGGGGAGGCUCUGCUGAAGGGGGGGGUGUGGGGGGGAUGAAUUUUGAAGCGUGGUUGGUUAAUUUUGGUUUUCUAACAUUCUGGGGAGGAUCCAGCCCACGGUGGGGUCAGGUAGGCGGGAGGGAAACAGCAGAGGGAAGAGGACUUUGCUUCCCCCUCGGCCCCCAUCCUCUUGGGCUGCCAGCCCUUAAAGUCAAAACACCAUUUGAAAAUCCAGGAGUCAGCACGUGUAGCCAUAAAGCGGUGCUACUUUCCACAUUCAAUUAGCGAGGCCCCAGAAACUUGGAACAGUUAAGUCCGGCACUACCAACAUGCCGCCACUCAUACAAUUCAAUUCUUCCUCCAAACUCGAUUCAAAGAGCAAUAGACGUGAGCAUCAGACAGUAACACAGGACAAGGCUUUAAACAUACAACCCCGGGGAGGAGGCGGACGAGCCCCACGGAGGCCAGCGGGGAAGGCGGGCAAGGAGGCAGCGGGGGACAUCCUGCCCGCUCCCGGCGCUCCCCCCACUCCCCCGGAGCGAGGUAGCUCCCCUGCAGCUGCCAGGCUAACAGUCUUGAGCCACCGAGCUUUUAGGGGCCGAACUGGCAGAGGGUUGAGGACAAACAUGGACUCAGACUUGGCAGGAGGAAGUGGACCAGCAGGAGCAGCCCCACUGGGGUCUCCAAGGCAAAGCUAGAUUCAAGGUCCUUUAAAAAGGAGUAGAGCCUGCGGGGAACCAGGGAGGGACGAAGCAGCAAGAACUGGGGAAGCAGAGUCCCCUAACGGGACCCGAGGAGAACCGCUUUUUAUAGGCAAGCCAAGCAAGGCAAAGCCGCGGGGCUGACCCACUUCCCCGACUCCCAUCAUCCACUGCACCGCGGCGGCACGUGUAGGUAGGGCCGUGCCUACGACCUGCCAGGCGAGAGGAGAUGGCUCUGGGGGCAAGGCGGGAAGGGAGGCCGCCUGACCAAGCUCAUACACCAGACAAGAGUCAGGGGAGGACGAGGACAGUAUGUACAGAUGUUUCUUCAGUUUUCUCCAGCCUCACCACGGAGCCAUUCAAGUAAAGGGAUCAGGCUCCUGCCCUGCGCA